UGCCGAUGAUGAAGAAAAUGCUAUAAUUGUAAUUUAUGAAAAAUAAUGAUUACAUAAAUACCUCUACUGCCUUCCUUCUGAGGUU
rfam:Gossypium hirsutum cultivar TM-1 unplaced genomic scaffold scaffold626.1, whole genome shotgun sequence